rnacentral:rRNA from 1 species
UACGUAGGUGGCAAGCGUUGUCCGGAUUUAUUGGGUUUAAAGGGUGCGUAGGCGGUUCUUUAAGUUAGAGGUGAAAUCCCGUGGCUCAACCACGGAACUGCCUCUGAUACUGGAGAGCUAGCGAGUAGAUGCUGUAGGCGGAAUGUGUGGUGUAGCGGUGAAAUGCUUAGAGAUCACACAGAACACCGAUUGCGAAGGCAGCUUACAAAUCUACAUCGGACGCUGAGGCACGAAAGCGUGGGGAGCAAACAGG